rnacentral:rRNA from 1 species
GACGAACGCUGGCGGCGUGCUUAACACAUGCAAGUCGAACGAAGUGGCGAACGGGUGAGUAACGCGUAAUCAACCUGCCCUUCAGAGGGGGACAACAGUUGGAAACGACUGCUAAUACCGCAUACUGAAGGAGGGGAUUGCGUCUGAUUAGCUAGUUGGAGGGGUAACGGCCCACCAAGGCGAUGAUCAGUAGCCGGUCUGAGAGGAUGAAAGGCCACAUUGGGACUGGGACACCGGCCUUACUGCUACGGGAGGCAGGAGUGGGGAAUAUUGGACAAUGGACCAAAGUCUGAUCCAGCAAUUCUGUGUGCACGAUGAAUUUUUUCGGAAUGUAAAGUGCUUUCAGUUGGGAAGCGGUACCAACAGAAGAAGUGACGGCUAAUUCCGUGCCAGCAGCCGCGGUAAUAC